rnacentral:misc_RNA from 1 species
GAUGAAGAACGCAGCGAAAUGCGAUAAGUAAUGUGAAUUGCAGAAUUCAGUGAAUCAUCGAAUCUUUGAACGCACAUUGCGCCCGCCAGUAUUCUGGCGGGCAUGCCUGUUCGAGCGUCAUUUCAACCAUCAAGCCCCCGGCUUGUGUUGGGGACCUGCGGCUGCCGCAGGCCCUGAAAACCAGUGGCGGGCUCGCUAGUCACUCCGAGCGUAGUAAUACAUCUCGCUCAGGGCGUGCUGCGGGUUCCGGCCGUUAAAAGCCUUAUUUACGCAAGGUUGACCUCGGAUCAGGUAGGAAGACCCGCUGAACUUAAGCAUAUCAAUAAGCGGAGGA